rnacentral:piRNA from 1 species
UAAUAAACUCCUUGCUCCCACAAUCC